rnacentral:rRNA from 1 species
ACGGGAGGCAGCAGUGGGGAAUAUUGGGCAAUGGGGGAAACCCUGACCCAGCAACGCCGCGUGAGGGAUGAAGGCCUUCGGGUUGUAAACCUCUGUCCUCAGGGACGAAUAAACUGACGGUACCUGAGGAGGAAGCUCCGGCUAACUACGUGCCAGCAGCCGCGGUAAUACGUAGGGAGCAAGCGUUGUCCGGAAUUACUGGGCGUAAAGGGUGCGUAGGCGGCGCGUUAAGUCAGAUGUGAAAUACCCGGGCUCAACCCGGGGGGUGCAUCUGAUACUGGCGUGCUUGAGUGCAGGAGAGGAAAGCGGAAUUCCUAGUGUAGCGGUGAAAUGCGUAGAUAUUAGGAGGAACACCAGUGGCGAAGGCGGCUUUCUGGACUGUAACUGACGCUGAGGCACGAAAGCGUGGGGAGCAAACAGGAUUAGAUACCCUGGUA